rnacentral:rRNA from 1 species
GAUGAACGCUAGCGACAGGCCUAACACAUGCAAGUCGAGGGGCAGCAUGAAAUUAGCUUGCUAAUUUUGAUGGCGACCGGCGCACGGGUGAGUAACACGUAUGCAACCUGCCUGUAAGCGGGGGAUAACCCGGAGAAAUUCGGACUAAUACCGCAUAAUAUCAUUGCUUCGCAUGUUUCAAUGAUUAAAAAUUUAUUGCUUACAAAUGGGCAUGCGUAUGAUUAGCUAGUUGGCGGGGUAACGGCCCACCAAGGCGACGAUCAUUAGGGGUUCUGAGAGGAAGGUCCCCCACAUUGGAACUGAGACACGGUCCAAACUCCUACGGGAGGCAGCAGUGAGGAAUAUUGGUCAAUGGACGAGAGUCUGAACCAGCCAUGUCGCGUGAAGGAUGACUGUCCUAUGGAUUGUAAACUUCUUUUAUAUGGGGAUAAAGUUUGAGACUUGUCUCAUUUUGCAUGUACCAUAUGAAUAAGCAUCGGCUAACUCCGUGCCAGCAGCCGCGGUAAAAC